rnacentral:rRNA from 1 species
AGAGUUUGAUCAUGGCUCAGGAUGAACGCUAGCGGCAGGCCUAAUACAUGCAAGUCGAACGGUAAGGCCCUUUCGGGGGUACACGAGUGGCGGACGGGUGCGUAACGCGUAUGCAACAUACCUUCAAGCGGGGGAUAUGCCAGGGAAACUUGGUGCAACACCCCAUAGCAUUUCGGGACCGCAUGGUCUUGGGAUUAAAUAUUUAUAGCUUGGAGAUUGGCAUGCGUGACAUUAGCUAGUUGGCGGGGUAACGGCCCACCAAGGCGACGAUGUCUAGCUGGUCUGAGAGGAUGAUCAGCCACACUGGGACUGAGACACGGCCCAGACUCCUACGGGAGGCAGCGGUAGGGAAUAUUGGACAAUGGGGGAACCCUGAUCCAGCCAUGCCGCGUGAGGGAAGAAGGUCCUCUGGAUUGUAAACCUCUUUUUGGCGGGGGACAAACCUGCACUAUACGUGCAGCUGAGGGUACCCGCAGAAUAAGCACCGGCUAACUCUGUG